UACGUAGGGGGCAAGCGUUGUCCGGAAUCAUUGGGCGUAAAGAGCGCGUAGGCGGCCCUGUAAGUCCGCUGUGAAAGUCAAGGGCUCAACCCUUGAAUGCCGGUGGAUACUGCAGGGCUAGAGUCCGGAAGAGGCGAGUGGAAUUCCUGGUGUAGCGGUGAAAUGCGCAGAUAUCAGGAAGAACACCCGUGGCGAAGGCGGCUCUCUGGGGCGGUACUGACGCUGAGACGCGAAAGCGUGGGGAGCGAACAGG
rnacentral:rRNA from 1 species